UUGUGCUAGGCGGGGAGCUAGCGGUGCCCUAUUCCCGAAAUCCGCUUUAUGCGGGGCUGAAUUCCCUUUCAAGGGUUUUGCGCCGGAAGCCUGUAAAUCUUUUUGGCCGGCCGCCGCGCAACAGACGGUCACGAACCUCGUCAGGUCCGGAAGGAAGCAGCGAUAAGUGAUGCGGUCUGUGUCGUGGAUCGAUCCCGGUCAUGUUAUUGAUUUACGAUUUCGGCAAUGGACUCGACGGAGGGUGCACAA
rnacentral:SRP_RNA from 1 species